UACAGAGACUGCGAGCGUUAUUCGGAUUCACUGGGCGUAAAGGGCGCGUAGGCGGCUCGUGAAGUCGGGUGUGAAAGCCCGGGGCUCAACCCCGGAACGGCAUCCGAUACUGGCGGGCUUGAGACCGGGAGAGGAGGGUGGAAUACCCAGUGUAGAGGUGAAAUUCGUAGAUAUUGGGUGGAACACCGGUGGCGAAAGCGGCUCUCUGGCCCGGAUCUGACGCUGAGGCGCGAAAGCGUGGGGAGCAAACAGG
rnacentral:rRNA from 1 species